AAAUCAGGGUUUUUUUGGCAUGAAAUUGUAGUUUUUAAUUGUAGUUUUAAUAUAAUUUGUGCACUGCUGUAUCCAAUACUGAAAACCAUAUAAUAAUAAAAACCAUCAAAUCAUAUCUCUAUUUCACCUUCUUAAAUAUGGUUUAAGAAUAGUCUGGGCCACCUUGAGUAGAAUAUGUACAUUUCUCUACAGAAAUUCUAAGUUGAAAUUGACAUAUUGACUCCCACUUGUGCAAACAGCUGUUAAAUGAUAUAUUUCAUAUAACUUAUUUAUUUAAUACAUAUGAAUAACUACUACAUGUCCUAGGUGCUAGACUAUGGCACAAAUAUUACAAAAUCCCUGUCAUCCUUAAAGUAGACAAUAGACAACAAAUUAAUAUACAUAUUUUAUCAGGUGAUAAUAAGUUCUGUGGAGAAAAACAAAGAUGGGGGGUGGUUAAGGAGCCUGGGAAAGGUAAGGAGCCUGGGAGAGGGAGGUAUGCAAUUUUACAAGAUGUGGUCAGGAAAGUCCUCUCUGUUGAGGUGAUUUUUGAGCAGAGACCUGAGGGAAGCUAGGUAAAUGCAUUACAGGCAGACAGGAUUGUCAGGACAAAGUCUGUGGGGCAGGGCAAGACAACUAGGAGGCCUGUGUGGCUGGAGCAAGUUGAGGGAGAGAUCAGAAAAGACAAAGCCAGGAAGAUGUAUGUGUGUGUGUGUGUAUAUACAACCGUAUUACAAGAAUGAGCUACUCUGCCCUUGACAUAUUUUAACCAGUAGCUUUAUUAAUGUGAGAAAAGUUUUGAAUUUGCUGCCAAGUUCAUGCAAAACAAAAAAAAGUCCCAGACAUACAGUGAACAAUAAGACAUAUAAUAACUCUGGUCAAAACAUGUGCCAACUGCACUUAUUAAAAGGUAAACUGUAGGGAAAUAAGAGUGUUCCCAGGGUAAAAUCGAUGCAUUUAAUAACUAGAGUCUGACAAGCCAAUGCAAUGUACAUAUAAUUUGGUUUUAAAACCUACUUAAAACACCAUUUAAUCACAUUGUUGUUUCACCAUUAAUUGUUAACACUGAUAUGUUUGAAAUAUUUUUUAAGAGAUGGUUCUAGAUAUUGGCAACAUUUAGUAAAUACUUUUAAGAGUCACAGCAUACAUUGGGAAUAUAGUAUUUUUUGCAAAUCUAUAAAACUACAUAGAUUCCUUUUUUUUUUCUUUUUGAGACAGAGUCUCACUCUACCAUCCAGGCUGGAGUGCAAUGGUGCAAUCUCACCUCACUGCAACCUCCACCUCCUGGGUUCAAGCAAUUUUCCUGCCUCAGCCUCCCAAGUAGCUGGGACCACAGGGGUGCACCACCAUGCCCGGCUAAUUUUUUUUUUUUUUUUUUUUUUUUUUUUUAGUAGAGAGGGGGUUUCAUCAUUUUGGCCAGGCUGGUCUUGAACUAUUGGUCUCAAGUGAUCCAUCUGCCUCGGGCUCCCAAAGUGCUGGGAUUACAGGUGUGAGCCACCAUGCCCGGCCAUCCUUCUUGAAGAAGUCUUUCAUUACACGGCUGGAGGUCAAAGGAGGAAGAGAAAAACUAAUGUAUAGAUUGAAUUCUACUUUGACAUCUACGACUGGCUAGCAAAUUUAUGUAGAGCAUGAUACUAAUGAAAACAAAGUCACAGGCUUGAUUCUGAUCUGUGUCAUUAACCUCAUUCUGUUUCAUGUUUCCAAGCUGAACUCUAACCAUCAGCUUGUGACUCAUGGCUUAGCUGGUCUCAAUGGGGAACAAACCAGAGAGUCUAUGGAUCAACACAAAGCUAUAACUGCUUCAUGAAAAGAACUUUGCAGGGCACUGAUCACCCUCUCUGACAAAUGAAGGCAACUUAUUACUUAAGAGCUACAAGAGGUAGUGAAAGGCCAGUAAACUGUGAUACAGAAGACCUGGACUCCAAUCCCAAUUUUAGGAUCCCUAAAUUUAUAACCUAUAAUAUAUCAAUUAAACUCUCUGACUUUUAAUGUCCUUAUUCAUUAUUUCAUAUUAAUACUCUUCUAACAUAGCCCUGAAUAUUUAGGGCUUCAAAUAAUAUGUGACUUGGUUGCUCUUGUGUUGUAAGCUUUUAGUACAUACUUGACACUUGCUUAAUAAAAUAUUUGCUGAACAAAUUGUUAAAAUGAAUUUGAAAGACUGAAGCACAUUAUUUCAAUGCAACUUAUUUAAUCUAAAAGACCAUUUGUAAACAUUUAAUAUAACCUAAUAUUCUUGUCAAUAUCUUUAUAGAUUUUGUUAUAUAAAAAUAGAUUGUUUAUUAAAAUAAUAUAGAAUAAAAUGUUACGAUUGCAUCUCUUUUUACAAACUGCUAUAAACAUUUAAUGUAAUUAAAAUUAGCUUAUAUAGAAAAUCCAAACACAUAAUCAGUUUAAAUUCAAUCAGUUGCUAAAACUAGUGACCUAUAGUUUUAUACUAUACACAAUCAAUUACACAAAAAAGAGAAAAUUUGUGGGAUAAAUUUGGAGAAAAAUAGUAUUAUAUUUAAUAAUGAUAAAAAUAUAUAACCAUCAUUUGAAAUAAAAUUAUUUUCUGUUAUGGUUUGAAAGAUAAAUAACAUUAAAAAAAUAAGCUUUAUACUCAAGUCAGUUACUGGCACACUUGGACUCUGCUUUAAAAAAGUGUAUGUGUAUAUGUGUGUGUAUUUUUUUUUUAAAGAGGCACCUGUUUGUGCAAUAGUUAAAUGUCAUUCAAACAAUUAUUUAAUGUUGACUACCUGAUUAUCUGGAAACCUUUCAAAUGAUACCAAAGCCUGAAAUAGAUUUUCUUUUUGGGAUGUGGCAGACAGAUAUCAGGGUAACCCUCAUGAUUCUUUCCUCCUGGUAUUCACAACUGUUUAUAUUUUCCUCAUCUUGAAUAUGGGCAGGAACUUUAAGUUGCUUCUAACAAAUAAGAUGUGGCAAAAGUGAUGCCCUGUCACUCUUAUGCUUAUGCUAUAUAAAAUCCAGUCAUACUAGCAAACUCACUCUCUUCCUCUCUUGCUGGAUUUGAAGAAGCAGGCUGCUUGUUGUAAAGGGUCUAUGGCGAGGGCAAGGUAGUAGCGAACUGAGGAUGGCUUCUAAGAGCUAAUGUAACCUCUGAUACGUAACCUCUGAUAUAAGUAACAGCCACCAAGAAGUUGCGACCGUCAGUCUUGCGGCUGCAAGGAAAUUAAUUCUCUCAUUAUCAUGAGUGACCUCAGGAGUUGAUCCAUCACCAGUGGUGCCUCCAGAUGAAAACUGAACCCUAGUGACCUUAGAUUGCAGCCUUGCAGAGGACCAGCUAGGCCAUGCCUAGACUCCUGACCCUUGGAAACUGUGAGAUAGUAAGUGUGUGUUGUUUUAACCCAGUAAAUUUUUGAAUAGUUGAAAUAUUCAAGGAAGCAAAAUUAUUCUGACAAGAAUAUUGCAGACUCAAAAAUAUAUACAUGUAUACAUAGAGAUAUGUAAGUACAAACAAACUGGCUUUUUGUGGGGAGAACAGAUGAAUUUAGUUAAAACAAAACCUUUUUUAAAAAAACAGGUUGAUUCAAAUUAAAAAGUAUUGUUCUCGAAUUGAUAACAGUUGGAUAGACUCAGCAAAAUACUCCCCAAGCAGGUUGGUAACGUCAAGUCUCCUUAGUUUAUAUCCAUGAAAUAGCUAAUUGCCAAUGCCAGUCUAAGAGUUUUAGCCUGGAUUUAAGAUGUGUGCUUAAAGUAAGGCUAUAGAAAUAUUCUCAGCUCAAGAAUAUUAUUCAGUUUUCACCUUCCUUUCUCCAACUACAGUCAUUCUUAGGCACCAAUUAAAAUGUGUACCAUACAAUCUGCAUGGACUUUCUAGGAGGUUUAUUCUUUCAUUAGAUAUGAAAGAAUUCCAGGCCCUCAUUAUCAAAAAGUGGGAUUAACUGUAUCUGUACUUUAUGCAUAAAUGGUCAUCCCUAUGUAGGUAACUACUACCCAUUCUCAAAUUGAGGUCAGAUUCACAUCCUCUAAAAGCCAUAUCUGACAUUGUUCCAUCUAAUCUGAUUUAGACACUUUUUAUCAGUGCUUGAAGAGCACUCCAUGCAAACCACUGAACCUGGUAAUCAUGCACCAUCUGUUCCUUUUCUUCCUUCUUGUGGGAAAGACCCUCCCUAUUUUUCUUCGGCCCUCAGGUCAGUGCCUGCCACAAAGUAGACACUGAAUAAACAUUUGGGAACUUUUAUUUUUCAAAUUGGUUUUACAUGUAUAUGCGCAUAUAUUUUAACCUCUCAAAUGUCCAAGGAAUAAUGUGGCAAAGAUUAAUUUGGUCUGUUGAGAGAAAGACAGAGCAGAUGCUUUGUUAUAAUAACAUAGCCCUAUUAUUAAAUGAGGCAUAUUAUAUAUCUAUUUCUUCUAUGUACAUGGUAAAUUUUAAUUAAUAUUCUCUGAUAACAAAAGAUAUAAGUAUGAAAUCUUGAAUUGAGAUUAUGUAAAAUAAAAUUUAUUGUUUAAAUAUUUUAAAAUACACUAAAACCAUAAGUAAAAUUUAGACAAAACCCUAAUGUUGUGCUAGCAAUAACAAUAUAUGCUGGGGCAUUGAUGAGGCUCAUGAAGAGGCAUAUCUUUUUUGUCUUGUUUCUGAUCCAGAUGUAACCCUGUCAGCUUUAAUGUCCUAUCCCAGUUCACAACUCACAUAACUCUGUAUGGCUGCAGAUAAGAAUACCGAAAUUAUUAAGCUAAUUAUAAAUAACUUAUAAUUCUUAUCUCUGCCAUUUCCAAGCCCAUUCUCCAAAGUAAAAUAACUGUAUUUCUAUUACAAACACUAUUUUUGUUCUAAUAUAUUAUUCUACAAUCCUGUGGAAAUGCUGAUGUGUUGAAUGUACAAUUCUCCUUUAAUGUAAAUUGGCUUUGUGGUAUUUUAUAUUUGCAGCUAAAAAUAUAUUGGAAAACCUUCUUCAGCUGAAACAGGGAGUAUUUUUUCGUCUACCUGGCUUUGAACUAGCAGUAUGUAACAUACAGAGUUAGUUGGAAGAUAGUCCUUAUUAUGAAAUAGUGGUUAGGGGAACAGACCCUGGAGCCACAUUAUCCAGGCUUGAAUCCUGGUCGUGUGACUUUUGGUAAGCCACUUAACUUCUCUGAACUUCAGUUUCUUCAUCUGGAAAGGAUAAUAACUUUGUAGGGACACGGAUGAAACUGGAAACCAUCAUUCUGAGCAAAGUAUAGCAAGGACAGAAAACCAAACACUGCAUGUUCUCACUCAUAGGUGGGAACUGAACAAUGAGAACACUUGGACACAGGAAGGGGAACAUCACACACUGGGGCCUGUCAUGUGGUGGGGGGAGGGGGGAGGGGGAGGGAAAGCAUUAGGAGAUAUACCUAAUGUAAAUGACGAGUUAAUGGGUGCAGUAAACCAACAUGGCAAUGUAUACCUAUGUAACAAACCUGCACGUUGUGCACAUGUACCCUAGAACUUAAAGUAUAUUAAAAAAAGUGUCUACCUCAUAGUGUUGGUGUGAACAUUAAGUACGGUAAUGGGUGUAUAAUGCUAAGAAUAGUACCUGCCACAUAAAACAUCCUUACUAAAUGUUAACUACUUAAUUACCUGUCUCAUACAUAAGCUCUAUGAUGUCAAUAUUUCAAAGUGGGCAGGAUAUUAAGUGUAAUAAUUAAAAAUUAUUAUUAUUAGGGUUGCUAAAAUAUAACAUGUCUAAUGUUCAAAAUAAUUUAGGCAAAAAAUUAAUGUUUUUUGCAAACUUUUUUUAAAACACGAAAACAGCAUAAUGGCCAUUCAUAUAAUAUGAACAUUAUUAAGUAGUGUUAAUUCUCAUUAAAUAUAAUAAGGCCUAACAUUUGAAAUCAAAAGUUGAGGUUAUUGAGAAUUUCAACAAAAGAAAUGGGAUAGAUAUGAGUACUACAGUGCCAGAUACGCAAUAUUGAUUUAUAGAAAAAAAACAUGGACUAUUAAAUAUAUCACUGAUUUUUGUUGUAACCAUAUCAUUGAUUUUUGUUGUUUGAAAUGUGAUGUUGAUGAUAGUCUCUUGGGUAGAUUAAUUGCUGGUUGCUGGUUAAAUACUGUACUCAGACAGUAUUGAUUAAUAGCUUGAGAUUAACCUGGAAACAUGAUUCAAAGGACAUCCAGAAUUCUAAUUUUGCAUUUUAACCAACAACCUGGGUGAAGAUAAGGAAGUCUGGUUUAUCAAUUUUGUGGGUAACAGGGCAACAUGUUACAGAAUAAAAAUUAUUUUGGAAAGGCAGAGCAAGAUGACCAAAUAGAAGCCUCCACCAAUCAUCCUCCUUGUAGGAAUACAAAAUUUAACAAUGAUCCACACAAAAAGGUACCAUCUAAGAACCAAAAAUCAGGUGAGCAAUCUCUGUACCUGGUUUAAGCUAUAUAUCAGUGAAAAAGGCACUGAAGAGGGUAGGAAAGAAAGUCUUGAAUGGCCGAUGCCACCCCUCCCCCAUGCGUCAGCAGUGGCCACGUGGCACAGAGAGUGAAUCUUUGUGCUCGGGGGAGGGAGAGUGCAGCGACUGGGGGACUUUGCUUUGGAACUCAGUGCUGCCCUGUCACAGUGGAAAGCAACACUGGGCAGAACUCAGCUAGCGCCAGUGGAGGGAGAAUAUAGACCAGCCCUAGCCAGAGUGAAAUUGCCCAUUCCAGCAGUCAGAAUCUGAAAUCCAGCAAGCCUCACUGCCAUAAGUUAAAGUGUUCUGGGGUACUAAAUAAACUUGAACGACAGUCUAAGCCACAAAGACUGAAAUUCCUGGGCAAGUACUGAUGCUGGGAUGGGUUUAGAAUUAGUGUUUAUGGGGGACAUGUGACCUAGUGAGACACUAGCAGGGGCAGCCAAAGGAGUGCUUGUGCCACCCCACCCCCAACCCUAGGCAGAGCAGCUUGCAGCUGCAGGUGAGACUCCUUCCCUCCACCUAAGGAGAGGAGAGGGAAGAGUAGAGGCCUUUGUCUUGCAAUUUGGAUACCAGCUUAUCCAUGGUAGGAUAGGGCAAAAGGCAGAGUCAUGAGCCCACCAUUACAGGCCUUACCUCCUGGAUGACAUUUUUAGAAAUACCCUGGACCAAAAGGGAACCUGCUGCCUUGAAGGGAAGGAAGCAGUCCUGGCAGCAUUCAUCAUCUGCUGACUAAAGAGCCCUUGGCCCCUGAAUAAUCAGCAGCAAUAGCCAGGUGGUACUCACUGUGGGCCUGGGGUGAGACUGAGAAAUGCUGGCUUCAGGUGUGACCCAGAACAUUCCCAGCUGUAGUAGUUAUGGGAAAAGACUGCUUCUGCUUGAGAAAAGGAGAAAGAAGGGUAAAGAGGACUUUGUCUUUUAGCUUAGGCUCCAGCUCAGCCACAGUAGGGUAGAGUACCAAGCAGGCCCUUGGGAUCUCCCAUUCCAGGCCCUGGCUCUCGGACAGCAGUUAUGAACCUGCCCUCAGCAAAAGGGUAGCCCACUGCUCUGAAGGGAGAAUCUCAGGCCUGGUUUCACUUACCACAAGCUGACUGAAGAGCUACUGGAUCUUGAGUAAACACUGGCAGUAGCCAGGCAGCACUUGCCAUAGGUCUAGGGUGGUGGUAGCCUCAGGGAAAGUCUCCUCUGCUUUUAGAAAAGGGAGGGAAGAACGGGGAGGUCUUUGUCUUAUAGCUUUGGUGCCAGGUCAGUCACGUAAAAUAGAACACCAGGUAGCUUCUUAAGAUUUCUCACUUCAGGUCCUGGCUCCCAUAUGGCAUCUCUGGAUUCUCCUAGGGCAAAGGGGAACUUGAUGUCCUGAAGGGACAGAUACAAGCCUUGUUGGCUAUGCUACCUGCUGAUUGUAGAGCCUUAGGACCUUGAGCAAACAUAUGCAGUAGCCAGGUACUGGUCAUUGCAGGCCUUGAGAGAGAUCCAAUGCUGUGUUGGCUUCAGGUCUGACCCAGCGCCAUCCCAGUGGUGGUGGCCACAAGGGUGCUAGUGUCACCCCUCCCCAAGCUCCAGGUAGCUCAAGACAGAGAGAGAGACAGACCCCAUUUGUUUGGUAGAAAGUAAAAGAAGAGGACAAGAAUCUCUGCCUAGUAAUCCAGAGAAUUCUUCUGGAUCUUAUUCAAGAACACCAAGCGGGGACACCUCCAUGGGUCAGCAAGAGCCAUGGCAUUACUGGUCUUGGGGUGCCCCCUAAUGCAGACAUAGCUGCAGUGAACAAAAACUUAGAUCACAAUAUCCAAGUCUCUUUGAAAACCUGGAAAACCAUCCCAAGAAAGGCAGGUACAAACAAGCCCAGGCUGCAAAGACUACACUAAAUACUUAACUCUUCAACGCCCAGACACUGAUGAACACGCACAAGCAUCAAGACCACCAAGGAAAACGUGAUCUCACCAAACAAAUUAAAUAAGGCUCCAGUGACCAAUCCUGGAAAGACAGAGAUGUGUCCUCUCAAACAGAAAAUUCAAAAUAGCUGUUUUGAGAAAACUCAGUGAAACUCAAGAUAAUACAGAGAAAGAAGUCAGAAUGCUAUCAGAUAAAUUUAACAAAUAGAUUGAAAUAAAAAGAAUCAGGCAGAAAUUCUGUAGUUGAAAAGUGUAAUUUACAUGCAUCAGAGUCUCUUAAUGGCAGAAUUAUCAAGGAGAAAACAGAAUUAGUGAGCUUAAAGACAGGUUAUUUGAAAGUACACAGUCAGAAGAGACAAAAGAAAGAAAAACAAACAAACAAAAAUGAAACACAAGCUCAAGAUCUAGAAAAUAGCCUCUGAAGGGCAAAUCUAAGAGUUAUUGGCCCUAAAGAGAAGGUGGAGAGAGACAUAGGGAUAAAAAGUGUAUUCAAAGGGAUAAUAACAGAGAACUUCCCAAAGCUAGGGAAUUAUAUCAAUAUUCAAGUACAAGAAGGUUAUAGAACACCAAGCAGAUUUAACCCAAAGAAGACUACCUCAAGGCAUUUAAUAAUCAAACUCCCAAAGGUCAAAGAUAAAGAAAGGACUCUAAAAGCAACAGGAGAAAAUAAACAAAUAAUAUAUAGUGGCGCUCCAAAAUGUCUGACAGCAGAGAGUGGUAUGACAUACACAAAGUGUGGAAAAAAAAAAAAAAAAGAUCUCACCUCUUAUUCUAGAAUAGUAUAUCCAGCAAAAAUAUCCUUCAUGCAUGGAGAUAUAAAGACUUUCUGAGACAAGCAAAAGUUGAUAUGUCAUCAACAACAGACCUGUCCUAUAAGAAAUGCUAAAGGGAUUUCUUAAGAAAAGGACAUUAAUGAGCAAUAAGAAUCAAUUAAAAAUACAAAACUCACUGAUGAUAGUAAAUAUGCAGAGAAACGCAGGAUAGUAUAACAUUAUAAUUGCGAUGUUUAAACUACUAAUAUCUUGAGUAGAAAGACUAAAAGACAAACCAAUCAAAAAUAAUAACUACAGCCAGGCAUAGUGGCUCAUGUCUCUAAUCCCAGCACUUUGGGAGGCUGAAGCGGGCAGAUCACGAGG
rnacentral:lncRNA from 10 species